rnacentral:rRNA from 1 species
UGGGGAAUAUUGCACAAUGGGCGCAAGCCUGAUGCAGCAACGCCGCGUGAGGGACGACGGCCUUCGGGUUGUAAACCUCUUUUAGUAGGGAAGAAGCGAAAGUGACGGUACCUGCAGAAAAAGCACCGGCUAACUACGUGCCAGCAGCCGCGGUAAUACGUAGGGUGCGAGCGUUGUCCGGAAUUAUUGGGCGUAAAGAGCUCGUAGGCGGUCUGUCGCGUCUGCUGUGAAAACCCGAGGCUCAACCUCGGGCCUGCAGUGGGUACGGGCAGACUAGAGUGCGGUAGGGGAGAAUGGAAUUCCUGGUGUAGCGGUGGAAUGCGCAGAUAUCAGGAGGAACACCGAUGGCGAAGGCAGUUCUCUGGGCCGUAACUGACGCUGAGGAGCGAAAGCGUGGGGAGCGAACAGGAUUAGAUACCCUGGUAGUCCACGCCGUAAACGUUGGGCGCUAGAUGUGGGGCACCAUUCCACGGUUUCCGUGUCGCAGCUAACGCAUUAAGCGCCCCGCCUGGGGAGUACGGCUGCAAGGCU